UGGGGAAUUUUGCGCAAUGGGGGAAACCCUGACGCAGCAACGCCGCGUGGAGGAUGAAGUCUCUUGGGACGUAAACUCCUUUCGAUAGGGAAGAUUAUGACGGUACCUAUAGAAGAAGCCCCGGCUAACUUCGUGCCAGCAGCCGCGGUAAUACGAGGGGGGCAAGCGUUGUUCGGAAUUAUUGGGCGUAAAGGGCGCGUAGGCGGUUUGGCAAGUUUGGUGUGAAAUCUUCGGGCUCAACUCGAAGUCUGCAUCGAAAACUGCCGGGCUUGAGUAUGGGAGAGGUGAGUGGAAUUUCCGGUGUAGCGGUGAAAUGCGUAGAUAUCGGAAGGAACACCUGUGGCGAAAGCGGCUCACUGGACCAUAACUGACGCUGAGGCGCGAAAGCUAGGGGAGCAAACA
rnacentral:rRNA from 2 species